UACGAAGGGGGCUAGCGUUGUUCGGAAUUACUGGGCGUAAAGGGCGCGUAGGCGGUGUGUCAAGUCAGGCGUGAAAGCCCCGGGCUCAACCUGGGAACAGCGCUUGAGACUGGCACGCUCGAGUUCGGGAGAGGAUGGUGGAAUUCCCAGUGUAGAGGUGAAAUUCGUAGAUAUUGGGAAGAACACCGAUGGCGAAGGCAGCCCAUCUGGACCGACACUGACGCUGAGGCGCGAAAGCGUGGGGAGCAAACAGG
rnacentral:rRNA from 1 species